rnacentral:rRNA from 1 species
CCUACGGGCGGCAGCAGUGAGGAAUAUUGGUCAAUGGGCGCGAGCCUGAACCAGCCAAGUAGCGUGAAGGAUGACUGCCCUACGGGUUGUAAACUUCUUUUAUAAGGGAAUAAAGUGAGGCACGUGUGCCUUUUUGUAUGUACUUUAUGAAUAAGGAUCGGCUAACUCCGUGCCAGCAGCCGCGGUAAUACGGAGGAUCCGAGCGUUAUCCGGAUUUAUUGGGUUUAAAGGGAGCGUAGAUGGGUUGUUAAGUCAGUUGUGAAAGUUUGCGGCUCAACCGGAAAAUUGCAAUUGAUACUGGCAGGCUUGAGGACAGUUGAGGUAGGCGGAAUGUAUGGUGUAGCGGUGAAAUGCUUAGAUAUCACGCAGAACUCCGAUUGCGAAGGCAGCUUACUAAGCUGCCACUGACAUUGAUGCUCGAAAGUGUGGGUAGCAAACAGGAUUAGAUACCCGGGUAGUC